rnacentral:rRNA from 1 species
GACGAACGCUGGCGGCGUGCUUAACACAUGCAAGUCGAACGGAAAGGCCCUGCUUUUGUGGGGUGCUCGAGUGGCGAACGGGUGAGUAACACGUGAGUAACCUGCCCUUGACUUUGGGAUAACUUCAGGAAACUGGGGCUAAUACCGGAUAGGAGCUCCUGCUGCAUGGUGGGGGUUGGAAAGUUUCGGCGGUUGGGGAUGGACUCGCGGCUUAUCGGCUUGUUGGUGGGGUAGUGGCUUACCAAGGCUUUGACGGGUAGCCGGCCUGAGAGGGUGACCGGCGACAUUGGGACUGAGGUACGGCCCAGAAGCCAACGGGAGGCAGCAGGGGGGAAUAUGGCACAAUGGGGGGAAGCCUGAGGCAGCAACGCCGCGUGCGGGAUAACGGCCUACGGGUUGAAAACCGAUUUCGCAGGUAACGAAGAGUGAGUGACGGUAAUGGGUAAAGAAGCACCGGCUAACUACGUG